rnacentral:misc_RNA from 1 species
UUAAGUUCAGCGGGUAGUCCUACCUGAUUCGAGACCAAAAGAUGAAAACAAUCAUCCUUGUGGACAGUUAGAAGCUGUUUGAUCCCUGGUCCAGUGCCUCGCAGCAUCGACGUAGAUGUGAUUAUCAUGCCGAAAACUGAAGUCGGGAGAGUCAGCUAAUGCAUUUGGGACGAGCCGAACCCGGGGGGCCCAGCAACGUC